rnacentral:rRNA from 1 species
CCUACGGGAGGCAGCAGUAGGGAAUAUUGCUCAAUGGGGGAAACCCUGAAGCAGCAACGCCGCGUGGAGGAUGAAGGUCUUCGGAUUGUAAACUCCUUUUGUUAGAGAAGAUAAUGACGGUAUCUAACGAAUAAGCACCGGCUAACUCCGUGCCAGCAGCCGCGGUAAUACGGAGGGUGCAAGCGUUACUCGGAAUCACUGGGCGUAAAGAGCGCGUAGGCGGGAUGGCAAGUCAGAUGUGAAAUCCUAUGGCUUAACCAUAGAACUGCAUUUGAAACUGUUAGUCUAGAGUAUGGGAGAGGUAGGUGGAAUUCUUGGUGUAGCGGUAAAAUGCGUAGAUAUCAAGAGGAAUACUGAUUGCGAAGGCGACCUGCUAGAACGUAACUGACGCUGAUGCGCGAAAGCGUGGGGAGCAAACAGGAUUAGAUACCCCGGUAGUC